rnacentral:rRNA from 1 species
UACGUAGGGAGCAAGCGUUGUCCGGAAUCAUUGGGCGUAAAGCGCGCGUAGGCGGCCCUGUAAGUCCGUUGUGAAAGUCAAAGGCUCAACCUUUGAAAGCCGAUGGAUACUGCAGGGCUAGAGUCCGGAAGAGGCGAGUGGAAUUCCUGGUGUAGCGGUGGAAUGCGCAGAUAUCAGGAGGAACACCAAUAGCGAAGGCAGCUCGCUGGGACAGUACUGACGCUAAGGCGCGAAAGCGUGGGGAGCGAACAGG